UACGUAGGGACCGAGCGUUGUCCGGAAUCAUUGGGCGUAAAGAGCGUGUAGGCGGCUCGCUAAGUCUUGCGUGAAAUCUCGGGGCUCAACCCCGAGCGGUCGUGAGAAACUGGCGGGCUAGAGUGCGGGAGAGGAGAGUGGAAUUCCUGGUGUAGCGGUGAAAUGCGCAGAUAUCAGGAGGAACACCAAUAGCGAAGGCAGCUCGCUGGGACGGUAUUGACGCUAAGGCGCGAAAGCGUGGGGAGCGAACAGG
rnacentral:rRNA from 1 species